rnacentral:lncRNA from 1 species
GGCAAGGCAGCGAGGGCCUGGCUGGACACGUAGUUCGGGACCCGGAGCUGGCGGCGCUGCUGCACGCCAUUGCCUGCGACCCGUUCUGGGGCAUCCGCUGGUCCGACCUGUCGGCGGGGCUGUCCAACCUGGUCGGCAACGGCAGCACGGGCCAGGUGUUCGCGGGCACCUACCUGCAUGGCGAGGUGGCCAUCAAGGUCAUCGGUAUCAACCGUGACAUGGAGUACGACUUAGGGGUGAGUGGGCUCUAGGUAUGGAAUGUGCCGCUAGUGCCUGCUGCCAGCGAAGGCGGAGGCGACAGACGGCUUGUGACUGCCUCAGCCAUUGCCUCCACUGCUGUUGCAAAUUUCAAGUCUCUCAAUACCUGCGCUUGCAGGCUCUGCGCGCCUUUAAAGCUGAAGUGGACCUGAACAAGCGCCUCAACAACCACCCCAACAUCGUGAGUUAGCCCGCUAGAAUUGAAUAGGGUACAAGAAUGAAUAGGUCCGAGGCCAUGAACUGCAGCAUAGCAAAGCAACAAUGAGGGCUGUUCGCUGUGCUAGUGAUUGCAAAAAAUGAUUACUUACAGCUGCUGGCCUACCUGUGCUCUUGCAGUGAAUUUGUGGCCUUCUUU